UCGCUAUCCAAUCCAUUAUCGCUUUGGUCUCGGGUUGUUGAUGCCGAUUGUACUAAAAAUACAAUCGAGAUCGUGGAUACCAGGAUUCUUCGUAAUUUCCAUAACGUACAACUCGCGACCCUGCACGGAGGAUCCUAUGCUGUAGAGUCUCGUGAUAUUGGGAUAAUUGGUUCUUAACUCCAUCAGAUCUUAUCACUUCGUCAACUGUACUUUCUCCUGUAUCGUACGAAUGUACAAUCACAAUUGUUAUCAAAAUAAAACGCAAAGUUUUACAGAAACAAUUAUUUAUAAAUGUGAAAUGCAUUCUUGUAUAGUUAUAUAAGAUAACGCAAAAUAAUAAAAAUAAGAGACAGAUAUGUUACAAAACACAAGGUACAGAGAAAAUGAAAAAACUGGUACAAAUAAUCGGAUGUGUAACAAUAAUGUACGUCAUUGAUAUUUAAGAGGAAAAGGAUAAAUAUCGAGUAAGUUACUCAUUGCUCAAGAAGAAAACAAUAUUUUUAUUUCUAGUUUUAAACAAUACAUGCUUUGUAAGGAAAAUAUUAGAAUAUACAUCGCUAUACAGAUUAUG